rnacentral:other from 1 species
CUACCGCACCGUUGGCCGCAAUCAAAACUAUUAAAGAACCUGACAAGUAACUUUAAUAGGGAGCUUGACUCAUGAGCGUGGAGCGCAUGCCACUAUCCCGCUAAUGGCGGGAUGUCCCGGCGAAGACUCCGAUCAACGAUCGGACGAGCGGGUCGUGGAAGUGUAAAAUGCUCAGGCAGGCACCCACUGUGUUUGAACAGAGGUUCUUCAAAUACAAUUGAUUGUACGUCGACGGCGCGGUUUU